rnacentral:rRNA from 1 species
GGGAAAUUUUCCACAAUGGCCAAUAACGCCUCACAGAGCUUCGCCGCGUGCGGGAGAAAAGCCUGUCGGGUUGUACCCUCUUUUCUCAGGGAAGAUAAUGACGGUACCUGAGGAAUCAGCAUCGGCUAACUCCGUGCCAGCACCCGCGGUAAUCCGGGGAAUCGCGAGCGUUAUCCGCAAUUAUUGGGCGUAAAGCGCCCGUAGCGCGCGCUAAGCAAGUCUCGCUGGAAAAGGCCCGGGCUUACACCCUGAUAUGUGCAUGUGGGAUU